UACGUAGGUGGCGAGCGUUGUCCGGAUUUACUGGGCGUAAAGGGCGUGCAGGCGGUUUGUUAAAUGCAGGGUGAAAGCUCCCGGCUCAACUGGGAGAGGUCCUUGCAUACUGGCGAACUCGAGGGAGGCAGAGGAAAGUGGAAUUCCCGGUGUAGUGGUGAUAUGCGUAGAUAUCGGGAGGAACACCUGUGGCGAAGGCGGCUUUCUGGGCCUUACCUGACGCUGAGACGCGAAAGCGUGGGGAGCGAACCGG
rnacentral:rRNA from 1 species